CAUGGACGAAAGUCUGACGGAGCAACGCCGCGUGAGUGAUGAAGGUUUUCGGAUCGUAAAGCUCUGUUGUUAGGGAAGAACAAGUGCGAGAGUAACUGCUCGCACCUUGACGGUACCUAACCAGAAAGCCACGGCUAACUACGUGCCAGCAGCCGCGGUAAUACGUAGGUGGCAAGCGUUGUCCGGAAUUAUUGGGCGUAAAGGGCUCGCAGGCGGUUUCUUAAGUCUGAUGUGAAAGCCCCCGGCUCAACCGGGGAGGGUCAUUGGAAACUGGGAAACUUGAGUGCAGAAGAGGAGAGUGGAAUUCCACGUGUAGCGGUGAAAUGCGUAGAGAUGUGGAGGAACACCAGUGGCGAAGGCGACUCUCUGGUCUGUAACUGACGCUGAGGAGCGAAAGCGUGGGGAGCGAACAGGAUUAGAUACCCUGGUAGUCCACGCCGUAAACGAUGAGUGCUAAGUGUUAGGGGGUUUCCGCCCCUUAGUGCUGCAGCUAACGCAUUAAGCACUCCGCCUGGGGAGUACGGUCGCAAGACUGAAACUCAAAGGAAUUGACGGGG
rnacentral:rRNA from 1 species